AUGAAUUGCCCUAGCAGAGAGAGCGGGGAGGGUAGGGGACAGGAGAGGCAGAGCCUUACGGUCGGCGGCGGGGCAGGCUCUGGCUCGGGCGGCGGCGGUGAGGUCAAGGGCGGCGGCGGUGAGCUCGAGGGCGGCGGCGGUGAGCUCGAGGGAGGCGACGGACACGUUUCGCUUUGGGGUGUGUUUGCAAACAUGAACGGGUUUAACUCCACCGAGAAUGGCGAGCUCUGUGGUGGCGUGCCUCAACUCCAUCUUCCACAAUGUCCAGAGAUAAGGUGCGGAAGCCAUAGUAAUUGGCCUCUUCAUAUCAUGGCACCAAUCCUAGGCAUAGUUCUCAUCUCGGCCAUACUCCUCGCCAUUUACCUAUGCUACAAGAGAAACACGAGACAAACAAAAGCCACGGCACUAGACAUACUUGAUGCUUCAAACUACCAUAGGGUCUCGUAUGUUGAAUUGGCGAAAGCCACAAACGGCUUUGCGGAUGCCAAUCUGGUAGGUGUAGGAAAGUUUGGUUCCAUGUACCUUGGAGCUCUACCACUAAAUGACAACGGAACACUCGAGAGUGUUCCUGUGGCGGUGAAAGUUGCGAAGUAUAAGGCACCAGAAUAUGAUCUAGUGCUCGAGCCCAUGCCCAAUUACAGGCUAGACAGGUGGUUGCAUCCAACACCUGAAGCGGUGAAGAAUGUAGGCAGCCUAACCGCAUUCCAACGGCUUAACAUUGCCGUGGACAUCGCCGCCGUGCUGCACUAUCUUCACAGCAACUGCGUACCCCCAAUCAUACAUUGUGAUCUCAAGCCGGGCAACGUUCUUCUCAACAAGGACAUGAUGGCCUGCAUCGUAUGGAUCGAUCGGCAAAGUUUCGACAGCUUCGGCAUAACACUGCUGGAGAUCUUCUCUAGGAGGUCGCCAACAGACGACGUCUUUAGUGAUGGACUGAUUCUGCCAGGGUUAAUUGGCACGACUUUUCCCAACAGAACAGAGGAGGUCCUCGACACGACGCUGCUGACGACCAAGGAAUCCAGUGGUGAUAGCGGCGUCUCGGUGCAGGAUUGCCUGGUUUCUGCCGUCAGGGUCGGGCUUAGCUGCAUGAGAGCGGCGCCGUACGAGAGGAUGAGCAUGAGGCGCGAUCAGAGAUGCUUGCGUCCGGGCCUGAAUCCUGGCUACUUUCUUUUUCUCUACCGAGAGGGAUGUGCAGUGUAA
rnacentral:rRNA from 1 species